rnacentral:rRNA from 1 species
AGAGGUCCCAAGCGUUGUUCGGAUUUACUGGGCGUAAAGGGUGCGUAGGCGGCUAGAAAAGUUUGGUGUGAAAUCUUCGGGCUCAACCCGGAAACUGCACUGAAAACUAUCUGGCUAGAGGAUCGGAGAGGAGAUUGGAAUUCUCGGUGUAGCAGUGAAAUGCGUAGAUAUCGAGAGGAACACCAGUUGCGAAGGCGGAUCUCUGGACGGUUUCUGACGCUGAGGCACGAAAGCUGGGGUAGCGAAGAGGAUUAGAUACCCUCGUAGUCCCAGCCGUAAACGGUGCACACUUGCUGUGGGCGGAUUCGACCCCGUCCGUGGCGAAGCUAACGCGAUAAGUGUGCCGCCUGGGGAGUACGGUCGCAAGAUUAAAACUCAAAGAAAUUGACGGGGGCCUGCACAAGCGGUGGAGUAUGUGGCUUAAUUCGAUGCAACGCGAAGAACCUUACCUGGCCUUGACAUGUAGUGGCCCGGGUGCGAAAUCACCCUUUUCUUCGGAACUGCUACACAGGUGCUGCAUGGCUGUCGUCAGCUCGUGUCGUGAGAUGUUGGGUUAAGUCCCGCAACGAGCGCAACCCUCAUGUUCUGUUGCCACCCGGAUGUAAAUCCGGAGCACUCUGGACAGACUGCCUGGUUUUAACCAGGAGGAAGGUGGGGAUGACGUCAAGUCAGUAUGGCCCUUACGGCCAGGGCUGCACACGUACUACAAUGCCUGAUAUAAUGGGAAGCAAGACCGCGAGGUGGAGCAAAUCCUCAAAAUCAGGCCCAGUUCAGAUUGUAGGCUGCAACUCGCCUACAUGAAGGAGGAAUCGCUAGUAAUGCCGUAUCAGCUACGACGGCGUGAAUACGUUCCCAGGCCUU